GUUUCUCCUUGGCGAGCUGCUUAUCCAAGGCAAGGGUGGUCUUCUCCUCCUGAAUGAACAUUCGGUCGAUCAUAACCAUCUCUGCGGAAGGACUGACUCUCUGUGCUAAGAGACCGCACCACCCCGACAAGAACAGUUCACAGCAGGGGAGGGACCCCAGCAGCUUGAGACUCCUACCCUGGACUCUUCCAGAAGCAAAAGCCGAUAUUUAUUGAGCAUGGCCUGGAAUCCCUACUACAGUAGGCUUGGUUUCCCUAUCACACGACCACGUUUCCAUCAGACAAGCCUAGAAGAUCAGCCCUCUGGCACCAUGGGGCAGAUUUCCUGAUAUGUUUAUUUGCUGUGAUCUUGGAACCCACACAGUGAGUGCUUACAAACACUGUGGUGGGAGAAGAACAGGAGAACACCAUUUAUUUCUCCAAAACAGCUCAAAGGCCAGCCAUCUUGCUACCUAUUCAAUGAACAGAGGCCUAUAAAACGUCAAACUUGUGUGCACCUAACUCACAGGCCUGCCUGGACACGCCUGGAAUCUAUUCACACAUUCACUUUCUUCCCCACCACACCUGACAAGAACUGUAGAAUCAGUGACCCUGACAUUGAACUGUAGAAUCGGGGGGCCUGAUGUCAACAGCCUGCAAGGUCCCCUCACUGACUUCACUUCUAUCUUACCCUUGGCAGAAGGAAAACUGAGAUCAAAGGGGAAUCCACACACUGGUUGGAGCGGUGCUUUGAGGAGCGGUGGGAGUGGGGCAGAUAUGUUGGGGUAGGUAGCUGUACUCACCAGGCU
rnacentral:sRNA from 1 species